AGAUUAAGUUAUUAAGGGCGCACGGUGGAUGCCUUGGCACUAGAAGCCGAUGAAGGACGUUACUAACGACGAUAUGCUUUGGGGAGCUGUAAGUAAGCUUUGAUCCAGAGAUUUCCGAAUGGGGAAACCCAGCAUGAGUUAUGUCAUGUUAUCGAUAUGUGAAUACAUAGCAUAUCAGAAGGCACACCCGGAGAACUGAAACAUCUUAGUACCCGGAGGAAGAGAAAGAAAAUUCGAUUCCCUUAGUAGCGGCGAGCGAAACGGGAAGAGCCCAAACCAACAAGCUUGCUUGUUGGGGUUGUAGGACACUCUGUACGGAGUUACAAAGGACGACAUUAGACGAAUCAUCUGGAAAGAUGAAUCAAAGAAGGUAAUAAUCCUGUAGUCGAAAAUGUUGUCUCUCUUGAGUGGAUCCUGAGUACGACGGAGCACGUGAAAUUCCGUCGGAAUCUGGGAGGACCAUCUCCUAAGGCUAAAUACUCUCUAGUGACCGAUAGUGAACCAGUACCGUGAGGGAAAGGUGAAAAGCACCCCGGAAGGGGAGUGAAAUAGAACCUGAAACCGUGUGCUUACAAGUAGUCAGAGCCCGUUAAUGGGUGAUGGCGUGCCUUUUGUAGAAUGAACCGGCGAGUUACGAUUUGAUGCAAGGUUAAGCAGUAAAUGUGGAGCCGUAGCGAAAGCGAGUCUGAAUAGGGCGUUUAGUAUUU
rnacentral:rRNA from 1 species